rnacentral:rRNA from 1 species
UACGAAGGGGGCUAGCGUUGCUCGGAAUUACUGGGCGUAAAGGGCGCGUAGGCGGCGCUGCUAGUCAGGCGUGAAAUUCCCGGGCUCAACCUGGGGGCUGCACUUGAUACGUAUGGACUGGAGUGGGGAAGAGGGUCGUGGAAUUCCCAGUGUAGAGGUGAAAUUCGUAGAUAUUGGGAAGAACACCGGUGGCGAAGGCGGCGACCUGGUCCUUGACUGACGCUGAGGCGCGAAAGCGUGGGGAGCAAACAGG